rnacentral:rRNA from 1 species
AGGAUUAACGCUGGCGGCGUGCCUAACACAUGCAAGUCGAACGAGGUAGCAAUACCUAGUGGCAGACGGGUGAGUAACGCGUGGUCAACCUACCGUUGAGUGGGGGAUAACUAGCCGAAAGGUUAGCUAAUACCGCAUACGUCUCCGAGGGGCAUCCCUUGGCGAUAAAAGGAGCAAUCCGCUCGAUGACGGGACCGCGUCCCAUUAGCUAGAUGGUGGGGUAACGGCCUACCAUGGCACCGAUGGGUAGCUGGUUUGAGAGAGCGACCAGCCACACUGGGACUGAGAAACGGCCCAGACUCCUACGGGAGGCAGCAGUGAGGAAUUUUCCGCAAUGGGCGCAAGCCUGACGGAGCGACGCCGCGUGUGGGAAGAAGGCCUUCGGGUCGUAACCACUGUCGAAGGGACGAUAAUGACGGUACCCUUGGAGGAAGCCCCGGCUAACGUACGUGCCAGCAGCCGC